AUUGAACGCUGGCGGCAGGCCUAACACAUGCAAGUCGAGCGAGCGGCGGACGGGUGAGUAAUGUCUGGGAAACUGCCUGAUGGAGGGGGAUAACUACUGGAAACGGUAGCUAAUACCGCAUACCAUCAGAUGUGCCCAGAUGGGAUUAGCUAGGAGGUGGGGUAACGGCUCACCUAGGCGACGAUCCCUAGCUGGUCUGAGAGGAUGACCAGCCACACGGCAACUGAGACACGGUCCCAGCUCCUUCGGGAGGGAGCAGGGGGGAAUAUUGCACAAUGGGCGCAGGCCUGAUGCAGCGAUGCCGCGUGUGUGAAGAGGGCCUUCGGGUUGUAAAGCACUUUCAGCGGGUAGGCGUUACCCGCAGAAGAAGCACCGGCUAACUCCGUGCCAGCAGCCGCGGUAAUUC
rnacentral:rRNA from 1 species